AGAGUCAGUGAGACAAUUCAGAUAAUAGAGAGUAGAAAUCAAAACAAAAUUCUAAAAGAAGACAAUUACAAAACCGUGUAGUUACGAUCUUUACUUUCAAACUAGUAUGUCUCUCUUCUAUCUAUUUCUAAGCAUCAUCCAAAUUUGCAGUUUCGAAAAUGUAAGAUUCCUCAGUCCACAUUUUCCAACCUUCCAUUGGAACAAUGCCAAUCCAAGCAAAGCAAAAACAAGUCUUCCAGAGCAUGAGACCUCCUGACAGUUCAAAAGGGCAAUCGUCCAGUUUCCAGAAAUAUUUUGCAUACCCCUGAUUCUGGCAUCUUUACGUUGCAUUUGAUAUAACUCUGCUAGAUUUAUUGAACUCGGACUCAGGAAUCGGUUCUUCAUUGAUGCUCAUUUGGAGGCUAUCAGCAUUGUUAAAUCUCUAUAAAGAUGGCAAUUAUGCACUUUAUUAACGUGGCUUGAGUUCCAACUUGUAAGCUCG
rnacentral:misc_RNA from 1 species